UUGGUAGAGCGGUGGACUGUAACAUGCUCCUUGUGUGAAACGCUGUGAUCCUAAGGUGGCUGGUUCAACUCCAGCCGGAAGCACCUCCUUGUCAUUGGAAAUACCCCAAAACCUUGUCUUUAUCUGUGAACUCCUCCAAAAUGUAAAAACACAAACAAGAUAACUCUUUCUUAAAUUUUCAACCAUCAAUUUUUUAUUCACCCAGCCUAAAAGUCCUGAUUAUCAGUUCUGGGUCCCUGGCAAUGACUGUUGGGUACAAACUGCAAAGCUUUGUUCGUCAGGUAGGGCUGGGCUUUUCAUUGACCAUGGGUUGGAAUAGUUCUGUGGGCAUAGUGUGUCUUCGAAGCCACUAUGUUUUCUGCACUAGGGACAAGAGAGCCCCUUGAUAGCUCAGUUGGUAGAGCGGUGGACUGUAAGAUGCUCCUUGUGUGAAACGCUGUGAUCCUAAGGUGGCUGGUUCAACUCCGGCCGGAAGCACCUCCUUGUCAUUGGAAAUACCCCCAAGCCUUGUCUUUAUCUGUCAACUCCUCCAAAAUGUAAAAACACAAACAAGAUAACUCUUUCUUAAAUUUUCAACCAUCAAUUUUUUAUUCACCCAGCCUAAAAGUCCUGAUUAUCAGUUCUGGGUCCCUGGCAAUGACUGUUGGGUACAAACUGCAAAGCUUUGUUCGUCAGGUAGGGCUGGGCUUUUCAUUGACCAUGGGUUGGAAUAGUUCUGUGGGCAUAGUGUGUCUUCGAAGCCACUAUGUUUUCUGCACUUGUGACUAGAGAGCACCUUGAUAGCUCAGUUGGUAGAGCGGUCGACUGUAAGAUGCUCCUUGUGUGAAACGCUGUGAUCCUAAGGUCGCUGGUUCAACUCCAGCCUGAAGCACCUCCUUGUCAUUGGAAAUACCCCCAAGCCUUCUCUUUAUCUGUCAACUCCUCCAAAAUGUAAAAACACAAACAAGAUAACUCUUUCUUAAAUUUUCAACCAUCAAUUUUUUAUUCACCCAGCCUAAAAGUCCUGAUUAUCAGUUCUGGGUCCCUGGCAAUGACUGUUGGGUACAAACUGCAAAGCUUUGUUCGUCAGGUAGGGCUGGGCUUUUCAUUGACCAUGGGUUGGAAUAGUUCUGUGGGCAUAGUGUGUCUUCGAAGCCACUAUGUUUUCUGCACUUGUGACUAGAGAGCACCUUGAUAGCUCAGUUGGUAGAGCGGUGGACUGUAAGAUGCUCCUUGUGUGAAACGCUGUGAUCCGAAAGUGGCUGGUUCAACUCUAGCUGGAAGCACCUCCAUUUCAUUGGAAAUACCCCCAAGCCUUGUCUUUAUCUGUCAACUCCUCCAAAAUGUAAAAACACAAACAAGAUAACUCUUUCUUAAAUUUUCAACCAUCAAUUUUUUAAUCACCCAGCCUAAAAGUCCUGAUUAUCAGUUCUGGGUCCCUGGCAAUGACUGUUGGGUACAAACUGCAAAGCUUUGUUCGUCAGGUAGGGCUGGGCUUUUCAUUGACCAUGGGUUGGAAUAGUUCUGUGGGCAUAGUGUGUCUUCGAAGCCACUAUGUUUUCUGCACUUGUGACUAGAGAGCACCUUGAUAGCUCAGUUGGUAGAGCGGUGGACUGUAACAUGCUCCUUGUGUGAAACGCUGUGAUCCUAAGGUCGCUGGUUCAACACCAGCCGGAAGCACCUCUUUGUCAUUGGAAAUACCCCCAAGCCUUGUCUUUAUCUGUCAACUCCUCCAAAUUGUAAAAACACAAACAAGAUAACUCGUUCUUAAAUUUUCAACCAUCAUUUUUUAUUCACCCAGCCUAAAAGUCCUGAUUAUCAGUUCUGGGUCCCUGGCAAUGACUGUUGGGUACAAACUGCAAAGCUUUGUUCUGCAGGUAGGGCUGGGCUUUUCAUUGACCAUGGGUUGGAAUAGUUCUGUGGGCAUAGUGUGCCUUCGAAGCCACUAUGUGUUCCGCACUUGUGACUAGAGAGCACCUUGAUAGCUCAGUUUGUAGAGCGGUGGACUGUAAGAUGCUCCUUGUGUGAAACGCUUUGAUCCUAAGGUCGCUGGUUCAACUCCAGCCGGAAGCACCUCCUUGUCAUUGGAAAUACCCCCAA